GACGAACGCUGGCGGCGUGCUUAACACAUGCAAGUCGAACGGAAAGGCCCUGCUUUGGUGGGGGGCUCGAGUGGCGAACGGGUGAGUAACACGGGAGUAACCUGCGCUUGACUUUGGGAUAACUUCAGGAAACUGGUGCUAAUACCGGAUAGGAGCUCCUGCUGCAUGGUGGGGGUUGGAAAGUUUCGGCGGUUGGGGAUGGACUCGCGGCUUAUCAGCUUGUUGGUGGGGUAGUGGCUUACCAAGGCUUUGACGGGUAGCCGGCCUGAGAGGGUGACCGGCCACAUUGGGACUGAGAUACGGCCCAGACUCCUACGGGAGGCAGCAGUGGGGAAUAUUGCCCAAUGGGCGGAAGCCUGAUGCAGCAACGCCGCGUGCGGGAUGACGGCCUUCGGGUUGUAAACCGCUUUCGCCUGUGACGAAGCGUGAGUGACGGUAAUGGGUAAAGAAGCACCGGCUAACUACGUG
rnacentral:rRNA from 1 species